CCUACGGGAGGCAGCAGUGAGGAAUAUUGGUCAAUGGACGAGAGUCUGAACCAGCCAAGUAGCGUGAAGGAUGACUGCCCUAUGGGUUGUAAACUUCUUUUAUAUGGGAAUAAAAUGUUCCACGUGUGGGAUUUUGUAUGUACCAUAUGAAUAAGGAUCGGCUAACUCCGUGCCAGCAGCCGCGGUAAUACGGAGGAUCCGAGCGUUAUCCGGAUUUAUUGGGUUUAAAGGGAGCGUAGGUGGAUUGUUAAGUCAGUUGUGAAAGUUUGCGGCUCAACCGUAAAAUUGCAGUUGAAACUGGCAGUCUUGAGUACAGUAGAGGUGGGCGGAAUCCGUGGUGUAGCGGUGAAAUGCUUAGAUAUCACGAAGAACUCCGAUUGCGAAGGCAGUUCACUGGACUGCAACUGACACUGAGGCUCGAAAGUGUGGGUAUCAAACAGGAUUAGAUACCCCUGUAGUC
rnacentral:rRNA from 1 species